GAUAAACGCUGGCGGCGUGCCUAAUACAUGCAAGUCGAGCGAACAGACGAGGAGCUUGCUCCUCUGACGUUAGCGGCGGACGGGUGAGUAACACGUGGAUAACCUACCUAUAAGACUGGGAUAACUUCGGGAAACCGGAGCUAAUACCGGAUAAUAUAUUGAACCGCAUGGUUCAAUAGUGAAAGACGGUUUUGCUGUCACUUAUAGAUGGAUCCGCGCCGCAUUAGCUAGUUGGUAAGAUAACGGCUUACCAAGGCAACGAUGCGUAGCCGACCUGAGAGGGUGAUCGGCCACACUGGAACUGAGACACGGUCCAGACUCCUACGGGAGGCAGCAGUAGGGAAUCUUCCGCAAUGGGCGAAAGCCUGACGGAGCAACGCCGCGUGAGUGAUGAAGGUCUUCGGAUCGUAAAACUCUGUUAUUAGGGAAGAACAAAUGUGUAAGUAACUAUGCACGUCUUGACGGUACCUAAUCAGAAAGCCACGGCUAACUACGUG
rnacentral:rRNA from 1 species